UUACGGUCAAAUCACGCUGAAACACCGGUUCUCGUUCGAUCACCGAAGUUAAGCAUCUUAGAGCCAGGUCAGUACUUAGAUGGGGGACCGCUUGGGAACACCUGGUACUGUAAG
rnacentral:rRNA from 1 species